AGAAAGUGAUAGCACCCAUCAUGAAUAUGGUGAUAACCCGACUGAGUGAUAAGCUGGAUGCAGUUCUAUGUGAUGGAUACUCCAAUGAGCUUGUGGGAUCCACAGUUGUAAAUUGCACCAAAAUAAAUGAAGGCAUCAUUAAAAUCCUGCGUGAGGGCUGUGUGCCAACCACUAAGAUUAUGCAACUAUUUGAGAGAGCCAAGAACACUCCGGGGGUUUUGUAGAAGCACAGUAAUAGAUGUCUUGGAACCUAAUGAUAUGUAUUGGAGCCCUGCUGGCAGGUCUCGGGAAACUGGAACUACUUGGAAUGGUCAUUUAUUUAACUGUUUUUCUUAAAUUCCUAUUUAUUUAUCUUUGUGCUGUAUAAUGUAAAUUGUUUUAUGGUAGAACACUACCCAUGUUUAUAGAAAGUUAAAUGUGUUUACAUAAUGACAGUGACUUAUUUUAAAAUUAGCUUUUAUACAAAAUGAUAUACAAAUGGAUUUUGGAACCAAUUAGCAGGUUAAGGACAUUUGAAAGCAACCCAUGUUUUUCUCUGUUCCCUAUUGUGUAUAGCUGGAAAAAUCCAAUGGGUCCAUUGGAUUUGUCGGUAUACUUGGAUUUUUAUGUGGAAAUGUUACUGUCCAGCUCAUAAGGACAGUCGUAAUUCUUCAUGUACAUGUCUGUAGUUCUGUGUUCUAUUUACUAGAGUUUUCCCUGUUUAUAUAUGGCAUAUAACAUAUAUAGAUAUAAUCUAUGGUGCUAAGACAAAAGUUCCAUUAUGCCAGAGCUAUAAUACAUUUCUGAGUAAUUACCUUCUGCUGUGUGGUAAAAAGGGAUGGCUAGAUUACCCUUAUUGGCAUAAGUCACCCUU